rnacentral:rRNA from 1 species
UACGUAGGGUGCAAGCGUUGUCCGGAAUUAUUGGGCGUAAAGAGCUCGUAGGCGGUGUGUCACGUCGGCCGUGAAAACCUGCAGCUUAACUGUGGGCGUGCGGUCGAUACGGGCAUCACUGGAGUUCGGCAGGGGAGACUGGAAUUCCUGGUGUAGCGGUGAAAUGCGCAGAUAUCAGGAGGAACACCGGUGGCGAAGGCGGGUCUCUGGGCCGAUACUGACGCUGAGGAGCGAAAGCAUGGGGAGCGAACAGG